UGGGGAAUAUUGCACAAUGGGCGCAAGCCUGAUGCAGCCAUGCCGCGUGUAUGAAGAAGGCCUUCGGGUUGUAAAGUACUUUCAGCGGGGAGGAAGGCGAUAAGGUUAAUAACCUUGUCGAUUGACGUUACCCGCAGAAGAAGCACCGGCUAACUCCGUGCCAGCAGCCGCGGUAAUACGGAGGGUGCAAGCGUUAAUCGGAAUUACUGGGCGUAAAGCGCACGCAGGCGGUCUGUCAAGUCGGAUGUGAAAUCCCCGGGCUCAACCUGGGAACUGCAUUCGAAACUGGCAGGCUAGAGUCUUGUAGAGGGGGGUAGAAUUCCAGGUGUAGCGGUGAAAUGCGUAGAGAUCUGGAGGAAUACCGGUGGCGAAGGCGGCCCCCUGGACAAAGACUGACGCUCAAGUGCGAAAGCGUGGGGAGCAAACA
rnacentral:rRNA from 1 species